rnacentral:tRNA from 1 species
GGCCUUGUAGCUCAAAAGGAUAGAGCCUCGGUUUCACUCACCGUGCGGUUGCGGGUUCAAGUCCCGUCAAGGCCACCA